rnacentral:tRNA from 1 species
CAGAGAAUAGUUUAUAUUAAAAUUUUAAUUUUGGGGAUUAAUGAUGGGAGUUUCCUUUCUCUGA